GAAUUUGCGCUUGGGGCAAUGAUGUAGCUAGUGAGGUUCUAACCGAGGCGCGUCUGUUGCUGAUUGAAAACUAUUUUCAAACCCCCUCAUAGGCCUAGGUUCGGCCCUAGCCUUUGAGAAUUUCUAGAAGGGCUCCCUUUGGGGUAAAGCC
rnacentral:snRNA from 2 species